UGGUUGAUUCUGCCAGUAGUCAUAUGCUUGUCUCAAAGAUUAAGCCAUGCAUGUCUAAGUAUAAGCAAUUAUACCGCGAAACUGCGAAUGGCUCAUUAUAUAAGUUAGCGUUUAUUUGAUAGCACAUUACUACAUGGAUAACUGUGGUAAUUCUAGAGUUAAUACAUGCUAAAAGUCCCGACUUCGGAAGGGAUGUAUUUAUUAGAUUAAAAGCCAAGCCCGUUGGGGGCUCGGUGGGGAUUCAUAGUAUGUUUUCGAAUCUCAUGGCCUGGUGCCGGCGAUUGUUCAUUCAAAUUUUUUCUUUACUCACUUUCGAGCGGAAGUUUU
rnacentral:rRNA from 1 species